rnacentral:tRNA from 1 species
GGGUUGCUAACUCAACGGUAGAGUACUCGGCUUUUAAGGGGUUUUUCUUUGAUUUAAUUAACG